GGGGGCGUUUGGUGUUGACAGCAUAGGUCUUUGAAAGUGGAAGCAUGCCGGGCGUUGUGUAAUUAGCCCGUUAAUCUGAAUACUCAAACUAUAAAUGGCAAUAAUCAAUAUGCCAUGGCUGCCUAAUCAGUGAUUAAGUAGUCAUUUGGGCCGCGUUGAGCACGGUUGUUCUGUUACCACGCUCCGCCGCCGACUCAUCAAACAAAUACAGGAUGCUGCUGCAACAGGCUGUGCCUGCAGCAAAAGCCCUAUACAGCUAAGCAGUAAAUUGGUUUGUUCUUUUCCUGUUUACUGCCGACAAAUAAUAUAAGAAAUAAGCAUGUAGAAGACUUUUGGGGAAUAUGUUUGGACACCGGUUCGAGUCCGGUCGCCUCCACAC
rnacentral:tmRNA from 1 species